UACGGAGGGUGCAAACGUUGCUCGGCAUCAUUGGGCGUAAAGCGCACCUAGGCGGCGCGUUAAGUCGGGUGUGAAAGCCCUGGGCUCAACCCAGGAAGUGCAUUCGAAACUGGCGCGCUUGAAUAUGGAAGAGGGUCGCGGAAUUCCCGGUGUAGAGGUGAAAUUCGUAGAUAUCGGGAGGAGCACCAGUGGCGAAGGCGGCGACCUGGGCCAAUAUUGACGCUGAGGUGCGAAAGCGUGGGGAGCAAACAGG
rnacentral:rRNA from 1 species